UAGCCAGGCCGGGCCCCUCUGGUCGCUCUCCUUUGAGCGGCGAUGUCGGACUGGAUGA
rfam:Microvirga vignae strain BR3299 T20BR3299_1_(paired)_contig_67, whole genome shotgun sequence.